rnacentral:rRNA from 1 species
CCUACGGGGGGCAGCAGUGAGGAAUAUUGGUCAAUGGACGAGAGUCUGAACCAGCCAAGUAGCGUGAAGGAUGACUGCCCUAUGGGUUGUAAACUUCUUUUAUAUGGGAAUAAAAUGUUCCACGUGUGGGAUUUUGUAUGUACUAUAUGAAUAAGGAUCGGCUAACUCCGUGCCAGCAGCCGCGGUAAUACGGAGGAUCCGAGCGUUAUCCGGAUUUAUUGGGUUUAAAGGGAGCGUAGGUGGAUUGUUAAGUCAGUUGUGAAAGUUUGCGGCUCAACCGUAAAAUUGCAGUUGAAACUGGCAGUCUUGAGUACAGUAGAGGUGGGCGGAAUUCGUGGUGUAGCGGUGAAAUGCUUAGAUAUCACGAAGAACUCCGAUUGCGAAGGCAGUUCACUGGACUGCAACUGACACUGAGGCUCGAAAGUGUGGGUAUCAAACAGGAUUAGAUACCCUUGUAGUC